rnacentral:rRNA from 1 species
ACUCAAAGGAAUUGACGGGGGCCCGCACAAGCGGUGGAGCAUGUGGUUUAAUUCGACGCAACGCGAAGAACCUUACCUACUCUUGACAUCCACGGAACCUGACUGAAAGGUUGGGGUGCCUUCGGGAACCGUGAGACAGGUGCUGCAUGGCUGUCGUCAGCUCGUGUCGUGAGAUGUUGGGUUAAGUCCCGUAACGAGCGCAACCCUUAUCCUUAGUUGCCAUUGGGUAAAGCCAGGAACUCUAAGGAGACUGCCGGUGACAAGCCGGAGGAAGGCGGGGAUGACGUCAAGUCCUCAUGGCCCUUACGAGUAGGGCUACACACGUGCUACAAUGGACGGUACAAAGGGAAGCGAAGCCGCGAGGUGGAGCGAAUCUCUGGAAAGCUGUUCGUAGUCCGGAUUGGAGUCUGCAACUCGACUCCAUGAAGUUGGAAUCGCUAGUAAUCGUAGAUCAGAACGCUACGGUGAAUACGUUCUCGGGCCUUGUACACACCGCCCGU